AUAGUUUGAUGCUGGCUCAGAACGAACGCUGGCGGCGUGCUUAACACAUGCAAGUCGAACGAGAAAGCGGGCUUCGGCCCGUGAGUACAGUGGCAGACGGGUGAGUAACACGUGGGUAACCUACCCAGAAGUGGGGAAUAACUCUUCGAAAGGAGGGCUAAUACCGCAUAACAUCACGGAGUCUCCGGAUUCUGUGAUCAAAACAGGCCUCUGAUUCAUGCUUGUGCUUCUGGAGGGACCCGCGCCCCAUUAGCUUGUUGGUGAGGUAACGGCUCACCAAGGCUCCGAUGGGUAGCCGGCCUGAGAGGGCGAUCGGCCACACUGGAACUUAGACACGGUCCAGACUCCUACGGGAGGCAGCAGUGAGGAAUAUUGCGCAAUGGGCGAAAGCCUGACGCAGCGACGCCGCGUGGAGGAUGAAGGCCUUCGGGUUGUAAACUCCUGUCAGGGGGGACGAAUGUCAGCAGGAUGAAUAAUCCUGUUGGUUGACGGUACCUCCAAAGGAAGCCCCGGCUAACUCCGUGCCAGCAGCCGCGGUAAUACGGAGGGGGCCAGCGUUGUUCGGAAUUAUUGGGCGUAAAGGGCGCGUAGGCUGCUCUGCAAGUCGAAGGUGAAAUCCCUCAGCUCAACUGAGGAACUGCCUCCGAUACUGCAGGGCUUGAGUCCCGGAGAGGGUAGCGGAAUUCCCAGUGUAGCGGUGAAAUGCGUAGAUACUGGGAGGAACACCGGUGGCGAAGGCGGCUACCUGGACGGGUACUGACGCUGAGGCGCGAAAGCGUGGGGAGCAAAC
rnacentral:rRNA from 1 species